rnacentral:tRNA from 1 species
GGUAGACGCGGCCCGCGCCGCAGGCCAGAGCCGCGCGCGCCGCGAGCCGCGCGGCACCUUGCAUGCCGGGUGCCCCG